rnacentral:rRNA from 1 species
UGGCGGACGGGUGAGUAAUGCAUAGGAAUCUGCCCGAUAGUGGGGGAUAACCUGGGGAAACCCAGGCUAAUACCGCAUACGUCCUACGGGAGAAAGGGGGCUCCGGCUCCCGCUAUCGGAUGAGCCUAUGUCGGAUUAGCUAGUUGGUGAGGUAAAGGCUCACCAAGGCGACGAUCCGUAGCUGGUCUGAGAGGAUGAUCAGCCACAUCGGGACUGAGACACGGCCCGAACUCCUACGGGAGGCAGCAGUGGGGAAUAUUGGACAAUGGGGGGAACCCUGAUCCAGCCAUGCCGCGUGUGUGAGGAAGGCCCUCGGGUUGUAAAGCACUUUCAGUGAGGAAGAACGCCUGGUGGUUAAUACCCAUCAGGAAAGACAUCACUCACAGAAGAAGCACCGGCUAACUCCGUGCCAGCAGCCGCGGUAAU